rnacentral:rRNA from 1 species
AUUGAACGCUGGCGGCAUGCCUUACACAUGCAAGUCGAACGGCAGCACGGGAGCAAUCCUGGUGGCGAGUGGCGAACGGGUGAGUAAAGUAUCGGAACGUGCCCAGUCGUGGGGGAUAACGUAGCGAAAGUUACGCUAAUACCGCAUACGAUCUAUGGAUGAAAGCGGGGGAUCGCAACACCUCGCGCGAUUGGAGCGGCCGAUAACAGAUUAGGUAGUUGGUGGGAUAAAGGCCCACCAAGCCGACGAUCUGUAGCUGGUCUGAGAGGACGACCAGCCACACUGGGACUGAGACACGGCCCAGACUCCUACGGGAGGCAGCAGUGGGGAAUUUUGGACAAUGGGCGAAAGCCUGAUCCAGCCAUGCCGCGUGCAGGAUGAAGGCCUUCGGGUUGUAAACUGCUUUUGUACGGAACGAAAAGGACUGCCCUAAUACGGUGGUCCCAUGACGGUACCGUAAGAAUAAGCACCGGCUAACUACGUGCCAGCAGCCGCCGCCG